AGAUUGAACGCUGGCGGCAGGCCUAACACAUGCAAGUCGAGCGGUAGAGAGGUGCUUGCACCUCUUGAGAGCGGCGGACGGGUGAGUAAUGCCUAGGAAUCUGCCUAGUGGUGGGGGAUAACGUUCGGAAACGGACGCUAAUACCGCAUACGUCCUACGGGAGAAAGCGGGGGACCUUCGGGCCUCGCGCCAUUAGAUGAGCCUAGGUCGGAUUAGCUAGUUGGUGAGGUAAUGGCUCACCAAGGCGACGAUCCGUAACUGGUCUGAGAGGAUGAUCAGUCACACUGGAACUGAGACACGGUCCAGACUCCUACGGGAGGCAGCAGUGGGGAAUAUUGGACAAUGGGCGAAAGCCUGGUCCAGCCAUGCCGCGUGUGUGAAGAAGGUCUUCGGAUGUAAAGCACUUUAAGUUGGAGGAAGGGUUGUAACUUAAUACGUUAGCUAACUUUGACGUUACGACAGAAUAAGCACGGCUAACUUCGUGCCAGCAGCCG
rnacentral:rRNA from 1 species